rnacentral:misc_RNA from 1 species
GUAAUUCAGCAGGCAGAAGGAUGUACACAGCAAACUGGAUGGUCCAAACGUAAGGCGGUUUCUAUAGCUGAAAAGCUUGAACAAGAAAAUUUGAGGCUGGAACCUAGAUCACGAAGUUUGCUAUGCUGGAAAGCAUCUAGAGUUACCCGUCGAAAGCUUUCUCGUUUGAAGAUUAGGACGCGAAGACCAAAUUCACUGCUGAAGCUUGUUUCUUGUGGAAAAUGC